rnacentral:rRNA from 1 species
GACGAACGCUGGAAGCGCGCUUAACAGCGUGCACGUCCAGCGGAUAGGUCCUUCGUGCUACUCGAGCGGCGAACGGGUGAGUAACACGUGAGUCACCUGCCCUUGACUCUGGGAUAGCUACGGGAAACCGGAGUUAAUACCAGAUAUGACUUCCGUCGACAUCGGCUGCGGUGAACCCAUUUAUCGGCCAGGGACGGGCUCGCGGUCUAUCAGCUUGUUGGUGGGGUAACGGCCUACCAUGGCGACGACCGGUAGCCGGACUGAGAGGGCGACCGACCACACUGGCACUGAGACACGGCCCAGACUCCUACGCGGAGGCAGCACUGGGGAAUAUUGCGCAAUGGGCGAAAGCCUGACGCAGCGACUCCGCGAGGGGGAUGAAGGCCUUCAGGUUGUAACCCCCUUUCGGCAGGGACGACGCGAAAGUGACGGUACCU